UACGAAGGGGGCUAGCGUUGUUCGGAAUUACUGGGCGUAAAGCGCGCGCAGGCGGUCUUCCAAGUCAGUGGUGAAAGCCCGGAGCUCAACUCCGGAAUUGCCAUUGAAACUGUUGGACUUGAGUACGAGAGAGGUGAGUGGAAUUCCCAGUGUAGAGGUGAAAUUCGUAGAUAUUGGGAAGAACACCGGUGGCGAAGGCGGCUACACUGGCUCGUAACUGACGCUCAAGCGCGACAGCGUGGGGAUCAAACAGG
rnacentral:rRNA from 1 species